rnacentral:misc_RNA from 1 species
GAUGAAGAACGUAGCGAAAUGCGAUACUUGGUGUGAAUUGCAGAAUCCCGUGAACCAUCGAGUCUUUGAACGCAAGUUGCGCCCGAAGCCAUUAGGCCGAGGGCACGCCUGCCUGGGCGUCACACGUCGUUGCCCCCCCAUCCACUCCUUCGGGAUUGCGGGGGGCGGAUGAUGGCCUCCCGUGCGCCUCGCCGCGCGGUUGGCAUAAAUGCCAAGUCCUCGGCGACGCACGCCACGACAAUCGGUGGUUGCGAAACCUCGGUUGCCCGUCGUGUGCGGUCGUCGCGCAUCGAGGGCUCGAAAAAAUUGCCGGGUUCCGGCUCGGCUUUCAACGCGACCCCAGGUCAGGCGGGGUUACCCGCUGAAUUUAAGCAUAUCAAUAAGCGGAGGA